AUCCAUAUCUUCCAAAAGCAGUGAGGUCCCUCGGCAUUUCCAUUAACAACUACUCGGAAGUUGUUGAAUUGAUUUGGAUUGAGGCACUUGAAAGUAAAACUACGGUGGAAAAUGCUCCUGAAGAGCUUGCACCACAUGCUGCACCUGACAUAGUUGCUCCGUUCUUAGAUCAAUCACCUAUUUUGCUAGGGAAAGAUGAUCCCAAGCAUAAAGACAAUGAUGUCGUUCUAGAGACAGAUACAAUUUUAAAGGAAUCAGAACAUGGA
rnacentral:misc_RNA from 1 species